UGAAUUGAUGAUGAAAACAUGGAGCUCCCCUACGAGGCGGAGAAUGGACUCGGGUUUGUAGAAUUUGAAGAAGAUGAAGUUGAAAAUGGAGGAAAAUUCAAGUAACCUUCAAACUUACAACUCCUUCCUACUUAGAUUCUUUCUUCUUCUUCGAUCCUUCUUUCGUUUGUAGGUUCAAAUUUGUUUGUGAUGCUCUGUGUUAUUGUUGAUUUCGUGUGAGAGUGAGGAUUCAAAGUACUUAGAACGAUUGAGUGAG
rnacentral:lncRNA from 1 species